rnacentral:rRNA from 1 species
CCUACGGGUGGCAGCAGUGAGGAAUAUUGGUCAAUGGGCGGAAGACUGAACCAGCCAAGCCGCGUGCAGGAUGAAGGUACUGCGGAUUGUAAACCGCUUUUAUAAGGGAACAAAGCGCCUUACGUGUACGGCUUUGCGUGUACCGUAUGAAUAAGCACCGGCUAACUCCGUGCCAGCAGCCGCGGUAAUACGGAGGGUCCGGGCGUUAUCCGGAUUUAUUGGGUUUAAAGGGUGCGGAGGCCGGAUGUCAAGCCGGCGGUGAAAGGCCCGGGCUCAACCCGGGCCUGGCCGUGCAAACUGGCGGGCUUGAGUCCGCGGAAAGCAGGCGGAAUGCGUCGUGUAGCGGUGAAAUGCUUAGAUAUGGCGAAGAACCCCGAUUGCGAAGGCAGCAUGCUGCAGCGGAACUGACGCUGAUGCUCGAAAGCGUGGGUAUCGAACAGGAUUAGAUACCCUGGUAGUC